rnacentral:rRNA from 1 species
GACAGAGGGUGCAAACGUUGUUCGGAAUUACUGGGCGUAAAGGGCGCGUAGGCGGCGACUCAAGUUAGAUGUGAAAGUCCUGGGCUUAACCUGGGGACUGCAUUUGAUACUGGGUUGCUUGAAUUCGGGAGAGGAUAGCGGAAUUCCUGGUGUAGAGGUGAAAUUCGUAGAUAUCAGGAGGAACACCGGUGGCGAAAGCGGCUUCCUGGCCCGACACUGACGCUCAUGUACGAAAGCGUGGGGAGCAAACAGG